UGGUCGUCAUCGCGGCAGCGGCCGGCUGCUCACACCGGCCCGAGACGGCCCCGUCGACAAGCCGGCGUUCCACUCGUCGACGGGCGGC
rnacentral:tRNA from 1 species